rnacentral:tRNA from 1 species
UGGCGCGUAGCGCAGUGGUGAGAGCGGCGACAUUAUAAGUCGCACCCUCGGAGGUUCGAUUCCUCCCGCGCCAA